rnacentral:lncRNA from 1 species
GGUGCGCCGCCGCCAUUGGACUCCAUGGAUCGACGACGACGACCACCGAUAAUAAAUUAAUAAAUUAAUAAAUAUCGCGAUUAUUAAGCUUGGCCGAUCAGAGCAAGUGCAUUGCUCAGAAACACCAUAGAUUCUAGGUUGAAGAAGAGAACCCUGCAGCACUAGCUCUCGAUCGAGCUAGUGCUCAAGAACUAGCUUUGUGCUACAUACUUUGCGCCAUGGAAGAGGUAGAAGAAGAAGUGUUCUUGAGAGCGCAUGUCGCUCUCUUGACAUGAUGGAAGAGCUAGAUUUUAUUCUUCUAUAUACGCACUAGCAGAUGACAUUUCCACACCACAUUUUAUCCUGUCUUGUUGAUAAAUUCAGUGAAUCUAUCAUCCAACCUGUGCUAUUUCCUU